UUUCCAGUUUGACCCGAUGGGUGUACAUGAACCGGGCGCCGCCUACACCCUGACUACGUGGAUGUCGCGCCAAUUCCAGAUUGAUGGUUGAACGGGCCGGACACGAUUGCUAUCGGAUUGACAUUAAACAAUGCGAGUCGAACGUCCCCCUGUUGCGGGGGGCGUGGCGUACGGCUCAGUAACACGUAGUCAACCUGCCCUGGAGACACGGACAACCCCGGGCAAACUGGGACUAAUCCGUGAUAGGUCACCUCAUCUGGAAGGAGAGAUGGCCCAAAGGGGCGCGCGGGCUUCUUCUGCGCGUUCGCUCCAGGAUGGGACUGCGACCGAUCAGGCUGUUGGCGGGGUAAAGGCCCACCAAACCUGUAACCGGUACGGGCCUUGAGACAGGUGGCCCGGAGAUGGACACUGAGAAAAGGGUCCAGGUCCUACGGGGCGCAGCAGGCGCGAAACCUUCGCAAUGCGCGAAAGCGUGACGAGGUUAAUCCGAGUGAUUUCCGCUGAGGAGACCUUUUGCCGGCUGUAAAUAGGCCGGCGAAUAUGGGGAGGGCAAGCCUGGUGU
rnacentral:rRNA from 1 species